AUCUACCCAGCAUGCCUAAUCAAGGAGAAGACUGCUAUUUUUUUUUCUAUUCUACAUGCACCAAAAGUGACAACUGCCAAUUUAUCACUGUGAAGCUGCACUAGGAAAUGAAACUAUUUGCACAUUAUGGCAAGAAAGGAGCUGUUUUCAAGAGGUAUGCUGGUUUUGGCACAUGCAAAUUGAUUUUUUAAAAAUGCAGUGAAAUUCCUUGUUAUUGGGAAAAUCAACCAAUGGGAUGUCAAAAACUAAACUCCACUUUCCAUCACAACAGAGACGUUAUGUUGACGGCCUUUUUCUACCUCCAAGCAAAACUGUGUUGCCCACUGUGCCUGAGUCACCAGAAGAGGAAGUGAAUGCUAGCCAACUCAAAGUUCAACAAAACAACUGUCUGCCCAGUCUAAUCCCUCCCCUCAGCUGAGAAGUGUUAUGAAAGUUGAAAGUUCUGAAAAUGUUCCUAGCCCCACACAUCCACCAGUUGAUGAAGAUGAUGAUGAUCAGUUUUCUGAGGAAGGUGAUGAAACCAAAACACCUACACUGCAACCAACUCCUGAAGUUCAUAAUGGAUUAUGAGUGGCUUCUGCCCAGAAACCCAGGGUCAAUUUAAAGCAAGGUGAAUCUUUGAAUUUUGGAAUAAAAACUCUUGAGGAAAUUAAGUCAAAGAAAAUGAAAGAAAAAUCUAAGAAGCAGGUUGAAGGAGUUUUCAGUCUUUUAUUUUACUCUCAGCCCAUUCCAUGUCCUAAAAAAGAGAAUGUCUGGGCUAUGGUAAGGACAGUAACUCUGUCAAAGGAGAAGAACCAUUGGUUAGAUUGAGUCUUACUGAGAGACUGGGGAAACAAAAAUUUUCAGUUGGUGGUGAGAGUGAUCCUCCAUUAAAGCGUAGCCUUAUGCAGAGGCUAGGGAAGAAAGUUGAAGCUCUAGAAACUAAUACUGACAAAACACCAAAGAAGUUCAAGUUUCUAAGUCUCUGAAAGAGUGAUUAGGCAUGUCAGUUGGUCCAAAUAAUGACAAGGCAACUGAGAGAGUUAAUAAAGUUGGUGAGAUCCAUGUGAAGACAUUAUAAGAAAUUCUUCUUGAAAGAGCCAGUCAAAAACAUGGAGAAUUGCAAACUAAACUCAAGACAGAAGGACUUUCAAAAGCUGAUGAUUCUACUUCAGGAGCAAGAAGUUCUUCCACUAUCCAAAUCAAAACAUUCUCUGAGGUACUGGCUGAACAAAAACAUCAGCAGCAGGAAGCAGAGAAACAAAAAUGCAAGAAGAUGCAACACGCAUCAAACUAAAAACUGAUAAUGAAAUUUAAAAAAAAGUUAUUUUGCCACUCAUAGUUGCCAGCAAAGGACAAUCAGAGGAACCUGCAGGUAGAACAAAGUCCAUGCAGGAGGUACACAUCAAGACGCUGGAGGAAAUUAAACUAGAGAAGGCACUGAGGGUGCAGCAGAGCUCUGAGAGCAGCACUAGCUCCCAGCCUCAACCUGAGGCCACCCAGGAGCAAGGCAGGUGCUCUGAAUCACCAAAAGAACAGGAAUGAAGGAGAAGAAACUUCAGGAAGGAAGCGAAGCUGCUUUAAAGAGCAAUGUUACUAGAACAGAAGCUAAAGAGACUUCAGAUGAGACCACAGGAGUUGACAUCACUAAAAUUCAAGUCAAGAGAUGUGAGACUAUGAAAGAGAAGCAUAUGUAGAAACAGCAGAAGAGGGGAGUGAUACAGAAGGAAAAAAUCACUCUUGAUACCCCUUCACGGAGAUGUAGGCUCUUGCAAUACCCAAGUGGCAGAAAAACCAGUGCUCACUGCUGUGCCAGGCGUCAUACGGCAUCUGACCAAGCAGCUUCCCACAAAGUCAUCCCAGAAGGUGGAAGUAGAAACUUCAGGGAUUGGGGACUCAAUAUUAAAUGUGAAAUGUGCAGCACAGACCUUAGAGAAAAGAGAUAAAGCUAAAUCCAAAGUAAAUGUAAAACCAUCUGUGGUUAAAGUUGUUUCAUCCCCCAAAUUGGCUCCAAAACACAAGGCAGUGGAGGUGCACCACGCUGUCAUUGCAGUGGUGAAGCCACUCAGUUCCAGCAGUAUCCUACAGGAAAGCCCAGCCAAAAAAGCAACUGUGGUUGUUGUCCUAGUCCUCUCUGAGGACAAAUCAGUCAGUUUCUACCUGAGGCAGAAACACAUGCAGACAGCCUUGUGCGCCUCCAACCCAGUCUUCCUCAGAUCCCUCACCCCUUUUCAUACCAGAUGGGCACAAAAACUCGCCGACUCAGCUCUGCCUCAACUCAGCUCUGCCUCAAAACCCCCACUACCUAUGUAGGAUGAUUUUGAGAAACUAAUAUGGGAGAUUUCAGGAGGCAAAUGAAGCUGACAUCGACUUGGAUCCUGGGAAGGAUGAAGAUGACCUUCUGCUUGAGCUAUCAGUAAUGACUGAUAACUGAAGGUGGCAGUGAGAACACUUUAAAAAACAAAAACUCGUCAAAAAACUGGACUUUGUUUUAUCUAUCAUAACAUUUAUAUGAGAUGAUCAUUUCUUUAGUCUAGAAUUUGCCCUAAAUCAGAAGUAUACCUCUGAAUUACCUGUAUGUGUCCUAGAUUUCUUGGAGUCAGGUUUUUAAAGUCACUCAAUAACCAAUUUGUCCAUUUGAUGCCAUUAUUUAGCAUCUGAGAGAAAAAUGUUCCGUCAUACCCUUUUCUCCAAAAGAGACUGAGAAGGAGAUCUAAGUGAAAGGGUGCAAGAGAACUUAGUGACUCUUUCAGGUGUUUGUCAGUUUUUGCUUUUUCCCCCUUUGUUGUAUUCUUUCUUUUAUGUAUUGUCUUAAUGUAUUUAAUAUUACUUGAGUUUGAAAUGGAUGAAGACAGCUGCUACCAUUAAGGACCAAAUUUGAUGCUACCCCUAAACAAAAGUCCCCACUCAGUGUGUUAAAUUGUAUGUCUUUUUAAAGGUAAUUGGAGAGUCAGCUAAGCUUUAAAGAGUGCUGGGCAGCUCAGGAAGCCUGUUAAGUGGACAUAACUCUUUGGACCUGAUUUUGAUGCUUCUACUGCUCUGUUAGCCUCUGAAGAGCAAUAUCUAAUUUAUUAUUACUGUAAUUAUUUAAGGCUUUAAAGUGCCCCAGGGAUCCCCUGAAACUAAUUUUCUAUUUCUGGGGACUCCUGGGUUCAUUAUAAGAGAUGGCAAUAUGGUUUUGAGGAAUUUUUUUAGUAUGAAAAUUGUCCCUUCUCUUCAGUACUUGCCUCCUUUUAGUAUUGAAUCACCACAGGGACAAAAAUAGGUUAAUGUUUUAUUUCUAACUCUCCCAGCAAACUCCUUGCCCAGUAUUUAUUUGAUGCCCUUUAAUUCCUUGAGGGACAAAAAGGAACUCAUUUGAACUGCCAAUAUUUAUCUUUGGACCAUAGAAGUACAGUGAAUCGUACUGUGGUAGGGUUAUGGAGAUGCUCUGGGUGUGUACUGUAUACCUGCCAGCCUUCUUCAUUACUGGAUAGAAUUUUCUUUUCUUGCUGUUAGUCUCCUUCAUAUCAUCUGAAGGUUUAGACUUGUGGAGGAACAAGCACAAUGGGGAUAAUAGUCUUAAAGGAGACAUUAUUCAUAAUCAGAAGUAGGAGGAAAGAAGGACUUGUCCAUUUUGAUAUUUUGUAGGUGGCCAGUUUUGUUUCUCAUAGGAAAAUCUGACCCUCCUGUCACAAUGGCUCCUGAGGAACUGCUGUUGUAAGUGGCUCAUCAAGAGUUGAACUUUGUGUAGCCUUGUUGGGAAUAUGGAAAAGGAAGAAAGCCACAAGACUGCCCAUUCAGUCUUGGGAAGAUCUGGAUAAUUCUGCACAAGCAAAAAUGACUUGAAAUUUAUGUAUAGACAUACCUCUACCAAUCCAUCUUCAGCUGACUGAAUGUUGUACGAUAGCCCUUCUCCAAAGAAGGGGUGGAAUGUUCUGGUUUCAACACAGAUUUUCUACUCAUUUCAUUUUUAGAAUCAGCUUAUAGAUUCCAGGUCUCCAUUGUAUAUAAC